CUGAGCCGUUGCCAUGUGGUUCCUGGGAAGAGGGGAUGCAAAUCUGUAUUCCUGAACUUCUGCUUCUGUCUGUGACAGAGAGGACAAGCAGAGCAAGGCGAGGUUGCCGAAGUCUGCUAUGGAUGGACUGGCAAACGCAGACCGAAUCGAGCUAUUCCAGAGAGUAUGUUGGGCACUGAUGACACUCCAUCUGGAGUUCAUUUCCUACUCAGCUACUGGCCUCUUGGGUAAAAAACUGCCCCCACCUUGACCGAUGACCUUGGACAUGCUGAACUAACUGAGCUUGCAGGAGAUAAACCUAAAGAAGACUGCUGAACCCUGCUAAGUCAUGGCAUUUGCAACAUUCCAGACCCUAAGGUCACUUCCAGGCCUGGGAUUGCAUAAAGUAGUAAUUAUUCUUGGAAGACAUUAAACAAGCUUGCUGAUGGACAAUGUAUCUCUACUGCUCCUCCUCGGAACACAUCCAUGUUCUAGGACUGGUUUGUAACUUCUGGACUCUGCUUCGUUCCCUUGAACAUCCAUACAAAGUUUUAUGGGAUGCUAUUGUGAAAUCUGUUUGAGUUACACACUAUUCCUGUCAUGGACAUGGCCCAGAAGUCCCAGAAUCUGCUGGGGAGAAGAGGAAAAAAAGAAAAGACUGCUGGUAAUAUGCCACCACUGCUUAUAUGUGUGUAUAUCAUUAGAGAUAGAGGAAUGUACCAAGGAUAUGUUUUAAUGAAAAAUCACUUUAAUCAAAACAAACAAUGCUCUAGGGGGAAAAUAUCCCACAGAGUAAAAUUAUUUUAGCCACAACACCAACAUGGAAAAUAUGCUAAUAAAAUAUCCCGGGACCUA